CUCGCCAUAGCUCAGUUGGUAGAGCGAGGGACUGUAGAUCCCCAGGUCACUGGUUCGAUUCCGGUUGACGAGA